GGCGGACGGGUGAGUAACACGUGAGCAAUCUGCCUUCUGCAGGGGAAUAACAUUGUGAAAACAGUGCUAAUACCGCAUGAUAUCCGACUGGGGCAUCCCGGACGGAUCAAAGGAGAAAUCCGGCAGAAGAUGAGCUCGCGUCCGAUUAGCUAGUUGGUGAGGUAAUGGCUCACCAAGGCGACGAUCGGUAGCCGAACUGAGAGGUUGAUCGGCCACAUUGGGACUGAGACACGGCCCAGACUCCUACGGGAGGCAGCAGUGGGGAAUAUUGGGCAAUGGGGGAAACCCUGACCCAGCAACGCCGCGUGAAGGAUGAAGGCUUUCGGGUUGUAAACUUCUUUGAUCAGGGACGAAUAAAUGACGGUACCUGAAGAACAAGCCACGGCUAACUACGUGCCAGCAGCCGCGGUAAUACGUAGGUGGCAAGCGUUAUCCGGAUUUACUGGGUGUAAAGGGCGUGUAGGCGGGUCUGCAAGUCGGAUGUGAAAUUCCCGGGCUUAACUCGGGCGGGUCAUCCGAAACUGCAGAUCUUGAGUACUGGAGAGGAUAGUGGAAUUCC
rnacentral:rRNA from 1 species